UGAUUUUCUUCUCUGCUUGAUACCUCC
rnacentral:piRNA from 1 species